rnacentral:rRNA from 1 species
UACGUAGGGCGCAAGCGUUAUCCGGAAUUAUUGGGCGUAAAGAGCUCGUAGGCGGUUUGUCGCGUCUGCUGUGAAAAGACCGGGGCUCAACUCCGGUUCUGCAGUGGGUACGGGCAGACUAGAGUGAUGUAGGGGAGACUGGAAUUCCUGGUGUAGCGGUGGAAUGCGCAGAUAUCAGGAGGAACACCAAUGGCGAAGGCAGAUCUCUGGGCCGUAACUGACGCUGAGGAGCGAAAGCAUGGGGAGCGAACAGG